rnacentral:lncRNA from 1 species
CCUUAUUUAACAUUACAACUCUUCCAGGCAUAUAAUGAUAGGGUCUAUAGUAAACCUUAAUAAUCGAUUAUAGAAGACAUAAACAUUCUUUAGACCUUUUUUAACGGUCACUUUUUUAGUAGCCUUACUAGAUAAAUGACAGAGACCUUUUUGAGCUCCUUCAUGUUCAUUUGUUCAUCCUUUUCUCAUUUUGAUUCAACAAUAACAAUGUCUCCAAUUCUCAUUUGAAACACUCAUUAGCUUGUUCCAAAACUUUAAUAUAUUGCAUUAUUUCGGUGGUCGUCGGAAAAGCGAUAUCAAGUAUUGUACGAAAAUCAAGUAAGA